rnacentral:rRNA from 1 species
AGCAGUAGCCGCGGGAAUACAGAUGGUGCGAGCGUUAAUCGGAUUUACUGGGCGUAAAGCGUGCGUAGGCGGCUUCUUAAGUCGGAUGUGAAAUCCCUGAGCUUAACUUAGGAAUUGCAUUCGAUACUGGGAAGCUAGAGUAUGGGAGAGGAUGGUAGAAUUCCAGGUGUAGCGGUGAAAUGCGUAGAGAUCUGGAGGAAUACCGAUGGCGAAGGCAGCCAUCUGGCCUAAUACUGACGCUGAGGUACGAAAGCAUGGGGAGCAAACAGGAUUAGAUACCCCAGUAGUCCCUGUCUCUUAUAC